rnacentral:rRNA from 1 species
CACGUAGGGUGCGAGCGUUGUCCGGAAUUAUUGGGCGUAAAGAGCUCGUAGGCGGUCUGUCGCGUCGGAUGUGAAAGCCCGGGGCUUAACCCCGGGUCUGCAUUCGAUACGGGCAGACUAGAGUGUGGUAGGGGAGAUCGGAAUUCCUGGUGUAGCGGUGAAAUGCGCAGAUAUCAGGAGGAACACCGGUGGCGAAGGCGGAUCUCUGGGCCAUUACUGACGCUGAGGAGCGAAAGCGUGGGGAGCGAACAGG